rnacentral:rRNA from 1 species
CAAAGGCUUGGUCCUGACUUUACUAUCAACUUUAGCUAAACUUACACAUGCAAGUAUCCGCACCCCUGUGAGAAUGCCCUACAGUUCCCCGCCCGGGAACAAGGAGCCGGUAUCAGGCACACAUAACCCAGCCCAUGACACCUUGCUUAGCCACACCCUCAAGGGAACUCAGCAGUGAUAGACAUUAAGCCAUAAGUGAAAACUUGACUUAGUCAAAGCUAACGGGGCCGGUAAAACUCGUGCCAGCCACCGCGGUUAUACGAGAGGCCCAAGUUGACAGUCACCGGCGUAAAGAGUGGUUAAAGAAUGAUUAAAACUAAAGCCGAACACCUUCAAGGCAGUUAUACGCACCCGAAGGUUAGAAGCCCAACUACGAAAGUGGCUUUAUCUUUCCUGAACCCACGAGAGCUACGGCACAAACUGGGAUUAGAUACCCCACUAUG